rnacentral:sRNA from 1 species
AUGACGCUGCAACAGGAUUCUU